rnacentral:rRNA from 1 species
AUUGAACGCUGGCGGCGUGCCUAACACAUGCAAGUCGAGCGGUAACAGGUGUAGCAAUACAUGCUGACGAGCGGCGAACGGGUGAGUAAUGCUUCGGAAUCUACCCGAAUGGGUGGGGAAUAACCAGCCGAAAGGUUGGCUAAUACCGCAUACGUCCCACGGGAGAAAGCAGGGGAUCGCAAGACCUUGCGCCAAUGGAUGAGCCGAAGUCGGAUUAGCUAGUUGGAGGUAACGGCCUACCAAGGCGACGAUCCGUAGCUGGUCUGAGAGGACGACCAGCC